rnacentral:rRNA from 1 species
UACGAAGGGGCUAGCGUUGCUCGGAAUCACUGGGCGUAAAGGGUGCGUAGGCGGGUCUUUAAGUCAGUGGUGAAAUCUCCGGGCUCAACCCGGAAACUGCCAUUGAUACUAUCAGUCUUGAAUAUCGUGGAGGUAAGCGGAAUAUGUCAUGUAGCGGUGAAAUGCUUAGAUAUGACAUAGAACACCAAUUGCGAAGGCAGCUUGCUACCCGAAUAUUGACACUGAGGCACGAAAGCGUGGGGAUCAAACAGG